rnacentral:rRNA from 1 species
CCCAGACUCCUACGGGAGGCAGCAGUGGGGAAUAUUGGGCAAUGGGCGCAAGCCUGACCCAGCAACGCCGCGUGAAGGAAGAAGGCUUUCGGGUUGUAAACUUCUUUUGUCAGGGACGAAGCAAGUGACGGUACCUGACGAAUAAGCCACGGCUAACUACGUGCCAGCAGCCGCGGUAAUACGUAGGUGGCAAGCGUUAUCCGGAUUUAUUGGGUGUAAAGGGCGUGUAGGCGGGAAUGCAAGUCAGAUGUGAAAACGAGGGGCUCAACCCAUAGCCUGCAUUUGAAACUGUAUUUCUUGAGUGCUGGAGAGGCAAUCGGAAUUCCGUGUGUGGCGGUGAAAUGCGUGGAUAUACGGAGGAACACCAGUGGCGAAGGCGGAUUGCUGGACAGUAACUGACGCUGAGGCGCGAAAGCGUGGGGAGCAAACAGGAUUAGAUACCCUCGUAA